GUGUCAGCAGCCGCGGUAAUACGGAGGAUGCGAGCGUUAUCCGGAUUCAUUGGGUUUAAAGGGUGCGUAGGCGGACUAUUAAGUCAGUGGUGAAAUCCUGCAGCUUAACUGCAGAACUGCCAUUGAUACUGAUAGACUUGAGUUUGGUUAAGGUAGGCGGAAUGUGUAAUGUAGCGGUGAAAUGCUUAGAUAUUACACAGAACACCAAUUGCGUAGGCAGCUUACUGAGCCGAUACUGACGCUGAGGCACGAAAGCGUGGGGAUCGAACAGGAUUAGAUACCCUGGUAGUCC
rnacentral:rRNA from 1 species